rnacentral:rRNA from 1 species
AUUGAACGCUGGCGGCAGGCCUAACACAUGCGAGUCGAGCGGAUGAAGGGAGCUUGCUCCUGGAUUCAGCGGCGGACGGGUGAGUAAUGCCUAGGAAUCUGCCUGGUAGUGGGGGAUAACGUCCGGAAACGGGCGCUAAUACCGCAUACGUCCUGAGGGAGAAAGUGGGGGAUCUUCGGACCUCACGUUAUCAGAUGAGCCUAGGUCGGAUUAGCUAGUUGGUGGGGUAAAGGCCUACCAAGGCGACGAUCCGUAACUGGUCUGAGAGGAUGAUCAGUCACACUGGAACUGAGACACGGUCCAGACUCCUACGGGAGGCAGCAGUGGGGAAUAUUGGACAAUGGGCGAAAGCCUGAUCCAGCCAUGCCGCGUGUGUGAAGAAGGUCUUCGGAUUGUAAAGCACUUUAAGUUGGGAGGAAGGGCAGUAAGUUAAUACCUUGCUGUUUUGACGUUACCAACAGAAUAAGCACCGGCUAACUUCGUG